rnacentral:rRNA from 1 species
GACGAACGCUGGCGGCGUGCUUAACACAUGCAAGUCGAACGGAAAGGCCCUGCUUUUGUGGGGUGCUCGAGUGGCGAACGGGUGAGUAACACGUGAGUAACCUGCCCUUGACUUUGGGAUAACUUCAGGAAACUGGGGCUAAUACCGGAUAGGAGCUCCUGCUGCAUGGUGGGGGUUGGAAAGUUUCGGCGGUUGGGGAUGGACUCGCGGCUUAUCAGCUUGUUGGUGGGGGAGUGGCUUACCAAGGCUUUGACGGGUAGCCGGCCUGAGAGGGUGACCGGCCACAUUGGGACUGAGAUACGGCCCAGACUCCUACGGGAGGCAGCAGUGGGGAAUAUUGCACAAUGGGCGGAAGCCUGAUGCAGCAACGCCGCGUGCGGGAUGACGACCUUCGGGUUGUAAACCGCUUUCGCCUGUGACGAAGCGUGAGUGACGGUAAUGGGUAAAGAAGCACCGGCUAACUACGUG